rnacentral:rRNA from 1 species
AUUGAACGCUGGCGGAAUGCUUUACACAUGCAAGUCGAGCGGCAGCGCGGCCUUCGGGCUGGCGGCGAGCGGCGAACGGGUGAGUAAUGCAUCGGAACAUGCCCAGUCGUGGGGGAUAACACUUCGAAAGAAGUGCUAAUACCGCAUACGUCCUGAGGGGGAAAGCGGGGGAUCGCAAGACCUCGCGCGAUUGGAGUGGCCGAUGUCAGAUUAGCUAGUUGGUGGGGUAAAGGCCUACCAAGGCGACGAUCUGUAGCUGGUCUGAGAGGAUGAUCAGCCACACUGGGACUGAGACACGGCCCAGACUCCUACGGGAGGCCGCAGUGGGGAAUUUUGGACAAUGGAGGCAACCCUGAUCCAGCCAUUCCGCGUGAGUGAAGAAGGCCUUCGGGUUGUAAAGCUCUUUCGGCAGGAACGAAACGGUGGGCUCUAACAUAGUCCGCUAAUGACGGUACCUGAAGAAGAAGCACCGGCUAACUACGUG